AUUUAAAAUUUUUAAAAUAGGUUUACUUUUCGAGUGUGCAUGUAAUUUAAAAAAAAAAGAGUUUUGGUCUUUUGACGUUGAUAAGAAACGCUGAAUAAAACUUAAAUCUUAACUCAAUCCUAGUUUUAAAUUGUCCAGUUUUUUUUUCCUUUCUCGCAUGUAGGUUUGCAUUUGUGAUUAAUUAUGCCAAGUAUUUAAAAAAGCAUUUCAUUCAAAAUUCAAAUGAUUUUCAAUUAACGAAACCACGCAACCUUGUGAGUUGCGAGAAUGGGCGCGAAAGUGGUUAUGGCGUCGUCUGCACUCUCAGCCACUUCUAUUGUUGAAUCUUGAAGAUGGCCUGGGCAUGAUGGUGAUAAGCGUGGCUCACUAGCAAAACGUGUGCAGUUAAUGAGUCAAGUAUGCUGGAUUAGUGCUGGAUAGAAACCUCGUGAAUAAAAUUAGAUGGUGUGUUGAUUGGCAAACUCUCAUCUCCUGUGAGAACGUUUUGGCUUACAGUUCUGGCUUGAAUUGAAUCUUAUCAUAAUGUUGUGUACCCGUUAAUAGAUAUCCAUUAGAUCCAAAUUUGUUUCAUUGAAGCUAGUCUGUGAUAUUCUUUCACAAUCGGCUCAACAGAGUCAUCCCGCCUACCCUACAGAAUUUAUCGGCAUCCAACCAGUUGGAGUGCUAAUGACUUUCCGUUCAAGGGCCAGCAAGGUACUGCAGUGUUGCCUUGCAGAAAUCCAGGACAAGCAUCUGCUACAUUUGCUCAAAUAAGUUUUGAUUGUUUGAAUUUGAUUCUUUUAAUUUUUUUUUUUUACCUUUUGUUUCGACUUUUCCCAGAGAGUUUGCUGAUACGAUUCCGGCCUGGCAAACGGCGACCGCAGUGUCAAGUAGAAAGACUUUGAAAAAGUAACUGGAACUCAUUUUCAUGCGCCUUAUUCGACCGUGAAUGUGAACUAUGCCCGAAAUAGUCACCUGGGCCUAGAAUUUAUACCCGGCGACCAGCGUCUAUGCUAUUAGCAAUCAAUUUUUUAUCAGAUUUUUAUUUUAUUUUUCUCACUUUCCCAAUAGGUGGUUAAGGCGGCAAGUGUGCCUAUUCGAGCCGGAAAUUGCUCUUGUGAAACAUGACGGAGCGCAGUUGCCCUGUUCAAGGUUUUUGUGUUGGGCCUUGGUCGUACAAUUAGAUCAUGGUCGUCGGUUUGUUUUUACUGUCACGCAGUUUUAUAUUUUAAUUGCGGAACUCAAUAUGAAGCAAGCUUAAGCUUUUAAUUAUUUAGCUUUUAAUUAUUAACAAAUUUGUAAUCCGAGUGAAUUAAGCACGUUUCUCUUAUUCUUUUUAAAAAAUCUCAGAUCAAUUCUUCAUUCUAGGCAAAGAUAAAAAGCAACGCGGGUUAGAUUUUGGGCGGAAGGCGAGUUACCUUUGGAUUGGUAUUUACGUCAUGAACCGGUCUAGUUUAAUUUUGAUUGCCAGGUCCCUUUUGGAACGAUUGAGCGGCGCAGUUUUAAUAGGGAGUUAUUGUGUAAUCGGAGCAUUUCUAGGUCGGUGGAUGCAGUUGUGUGAACGUAAGCUCCUUGGUUUCGCAUGUAUUCACAAUAAGGAAGAUUAGGUUAUUUGAUGAGAAGAGGGAUUUAGAAUUAUAUUCUUUCAAUUCUGUAAUCUACCGAGAUUUUUUAUUCUAGUAGAUUCAGCAGGUUUUUAUCGUUUCCAAGCCGAUAACUUGCCGUAGAGUCUCAUUGUCGAAUGGAAUCCUUCUUUCCAUGUGUGUUUGUCUUGUAUUGCACGCUGAUUGCACGGCUUUUGAUACUGGGAUUCAUUAAUUAAUCAGGUCACGUUUUCUUUGUGCAGGUUUGACACCAGUAUUUCACUUGCCGUGUAAAGCAAAUAAUUGUCUAUCAAGUUUAAUGUUGUAGGGCUAUGACGUUGCUGUUUGUUAGCAAAUUCAUGUUUUGUUUUCAGUGCAUAUUUCGACCGAUCUUGACCAUCACUAGCGGUGCAUGGCGCUUAAGUAAUGAAUUAUCAACUCUUUUCAACCCCUCUCCCGUCCGGAUAGGCCUAAUUCUUUUCAUGACUGUGGACUUUGACUGAAAAAUAGAUCGCGUUUAUAAGGGUAACCAUUGUGGUAUUAUUUUACCUUGGUAUCCUAAAUUGUAAAGUCGUAAAAUGUUUGUAAUUGAAGAAUUGGUUUUACCAAUUUGUUUUAUAUUUUUAAAAAUCAGUUUCGAAUUUAAUCGAAAGUAGUUCAAAGAUAGGCCUAGUAUAAGAAUGGAUCCGUACUCAUAGAUAAAUAUUUUUAAAUGAUUAACUUACCUUAACCCGAAAUGCUUAAUAUAUUAUAGAAGGAUAUUUGAUAAAUAGCCUUACACCUCGACCAAAAUUGUGGCAAGCAGGCCAAGCAUUUAACACUGAUGGUAGUGCUGGAGUGAGUACGCAACCUCCUUACCCGUUAACCCAGUGCCUUAAAGUGCGCCACAUUUUUGACGCCGAAGUAGAGGAGGGUGGUUCAUGGCCGGUGCGUAUUCAGAACGUGAUUUUGGACAAGGCGGAUAUUUUGCAUAAGGCUGUUGAUCGUGGUUCGCGAGAAGGUUGUGUUUACAUCAAGUGUGCAAGUGCUGAUGAUGCCGGCAAGGUAUACCACUCGCUCCACGGCUGGUGGUUUGAUGGCAAUUUGGUCACAGUCAAGUACCUUAGUCCCGAACGAUAUCAAUAUCGUUUCCCAGAUUCAGUCAAAGCAAUUUUUCCACUACAGCCAUCCAACGGGAGAUGAAGAUUCUUAGUUGGCGCAGAGUGGCAAUGACGAAUUCAACAACCAGGCAUCUCAAUAAGCCCCCGAAGGAGGUUUCUCAUUACAAAUUUGGUCAUCUGAAAUUCUUAUUUCUACCCUUACCAACGUUUUUUUUUUUAGUUGGAAGUUUCCAUUUGCUUUUAUCCCUGUCGGUGACUCCCACCGGUCCCUCGCCAUCCAGUGCCGCCGUCAAUGUCAACAACAACUACAACAACCACAACAACAGCAAGGCAUUGCCCUCCGCGGCCGUUGGCACUUUGGCAGCCGCAACGACUCCGUCCAAAAGGGAAUUGCCGGACAUUCCGGUGAUGAUGACCACCCCCAACAAGAUGGCGACCGACCUCCACUCCACGAAAUCCUCGCCGGUGACUCCGCAACAACUCGUCUCCAAACACAACCACCACCACCACCACCUGCAGCAACGAGGCAGCAAAUCGGAACCGGCCAACGUGCCGGCCACAACGAAGGUACUACCAACAACAACAUCUUCCACUCCCUCGACAGAGAUGCAGCAGCAACAACUACCACAACAACAACAGCAAUCCAGUGUGAUACUACACCACCCCCACCACAGUUCCAGUCAUCCCCGACCUGUCAAAUCUUCAUUCUGUGGAGCCUGGUGGAAACUUUGAUUCACAAUUGAACCCUCCCACCUCUCACUUUAUUGAUUACCUCGAAAAUGUCUUUUUGUUUAAUUUUAUUUUCAUUUUAAGAAAAUUAGCGCUCGAAUGCGGUGGGAUGUGGAUUAUUCGGAUUAUUUCAAUUUUUGGAUAAACCAAAACUUUUAUUUUUUUUCUCCUCAAAUUUUAUUUCUUAAAAAUAUCAAAACGACACACAAAUUUAAAUUAAAUAAAAGGCCAAUUGGAUUGUGACGACUCGAUGGUCGCUUCCGCCUCUUCUCCUACUCUUCCUACUCUUCCUACUCCUCCUAUUCCCAGUCCCCCGGGCCAUGUUCGUUUGCCGAUUGGAUGUUCCCGCACAAAUUUCACAAUUUAAGGACCCGAUUGGCUCUAAGGGAUUCGCUGUCGUCGUCUGAAGAGCAGCCACACCUUCAACAACUGCAGCCGGAUAAUAAAGUAGACGAUUAUUGUACGACAACAUCAAGAAAGGCCAACAGCAAGAACCGUGACGGUCUGUUGCUGUACCAACAGGUCCAAUACAAUCGCAGCGACUAGCAACUGCAACAACCAGAGCUCGACCGGCAGUAGCACGAAGCCCAGCAAUAGUACGAUUGAAUCUCAAUGGCAGCCUAAGAUGGUCAACUAACAUGCUAAUUUACCGUUCGUGAGCACAAGGCAACUGUUUCCUAUAUAACUAUACGUGGCUCACUUCUUAAAACCCAUCACUUGCCAUUCAUUUGAAAAUAUUGAUGUACUAGAUCUACUGCUGUGUAAUAAUAAUUUAUACGUCUUCUGCGUGUAGCUGAUGCAAUUUAUAUUGAAUGAAUAUUAUACCGGGAAA